rnacentral:rRNA from 1 species
UACGAAGGGUGCAAACGUUGCUCGGAAUUAUUGGGCGUAAAGCGCACGUAGGCGGCUUUUCAAGUCCCAUGUGAAAUCCCACGGCUUAACCGUGGAAGUGCAUGGGAAACUGGAGAGCUUGAGUACUUAAGAGGAUCGCGGAAUUCCCGGUGUAGAGGUGAAAUUCGUAGAUAUCGGGAGGAACACCAGUGGCGAAGGCGGCGUUCUGGACUGUAACUGACACUGAGGAACGAAAGCCAGGGGAGCAAACGGG